GCUUCCUCUCUGAACAACACGGACACCCGACCUCACAUCACAUGGCUACGUGUCAACAAUAGGCAGGAAUGGGCAUUUGCGAAGGUUUAUAGAAGACCUCAGGCGUAAACAGGCGUCAUGUGUUGAGGAGGAGCGUUACAAAACCGUCUGAGGGGCAGGAAAGGCCUACAGGAGCACUUGACAACAAUGAAAGUCAUCUCAUCUUUCCUGCCACCGAGAGGAAGCUGGACUUGAAGCGAGACGCUGUCUGGGUCUGUUUAAAAGUCACAGUAGGAUAAGGCUUCUUUAACACGGAGAAAUAAAAAUGUUGGAGAU